AUUGAACGCUGGCGGCAGGCCUAACACAUGCAAGUCGAGCGGAUGCAGGGAGCUUGCUCCUGGAUUCAGCGGCGGACGGGUGGGUAAUGCCUAUGAAUCUGCCUGGUAGUGGGGGAUAACGUCCGGAAACGGGCGCUAAUACCGCAUACGUCCUGAGGGAGAAAGUGGGGGAUCUUCGGACCUCACGCUAUCAUAUGAGCCUAGGUCGGAUUAGCUAGUUGGUGGGGUAAAGGCCUACCAAGGCGACGAUCCGUAACUGGUCUGAGAGGAUGAUCAGUCACACUGGAACUGAGACACGGUCCAGACUCCUACGGGAGGCAGCAGUGGGGAAUAUUGGACAAUGGGCGAAAGCCUGAUCCAGCCAUGCCGCGUGUGUGAAGAAGGUCUUCGGAUUGUAAAGCACUUUAAGUUGGGAGGAAGGGCAGUAAGUUAAUACCUUGCUGUUUUGACGUUACCAACAGAAUAAGCACCGGCUAACUUCGUG
rnacentral:rRNA from 1 species